UUUACACCAAUGCAUUCAAAUAUUCAUGAGGAACAAAUGAUCAUUUAAUUACAGCAAUAUAAUAUCCAACAAGUAAACAAUUUAAAAUGGAAAGGCUAAUCUUUAAACUGUGCCUGAAUCUAUCAAACAUGCUCUUACUCCACUAUUAAUCUCAACUUUGCUAAUCGGACCAAUUAAUGGUCAAAUUUGCCAAAACAUGGCGUUAUGCUCAGCAUUUUGAGCUGCACUUCUCCGACAGUUUCUAGAAAAAGAAAGAAAAAAAAAACUUAACAUGCUUGAAGUUGUCACACAUGUAUCUAGAUUUAGCCAUUUAUAACACCAUAUAAUCAACAGUGACAACAUUUAGACUUAGAAGCACACGAUUUAAACUCAGAAUUAUACAUGUUUAGAUAUUAAAUCAACCAAGUAUUCAAACCAAUUCACAAUAACAAUCAGCAAGUAAGGUCAUUUGAUAAACACAAACAUACUCAAGAUAAAUCGAUUCAAAACUUCCUACCAUUAUACCAUUCAUGAAGUCCUUACACUAGCCUACACGUUAACACUCAAACCUUACAUGCAUCAUAGAGUAGUACAACCAUACCAACAACAUUUAAUCACAACUUGAGAAAGGAACUUGAAUCCAGAAAAGGAAGAACAACAGAAAGAAAAAGCAAAUAGAGAAAAGAAGAGGGAGGAUCUGAGUUCAUAUUCCAAAAAAGAAAACAAAGGCUACAUUUCCAUUUUUGUCUCUUCGAGGCUGAUGAGAAUACCUGGAUAACAGCAAAGAACAAAGAAAGCAAGGAUUUCAGCAAUGAAUGAGAGAUGACAGCCCAACAACAGCACUAACAGCUUCAAAUAGACCCAAACUUGAACCAGAAAUUUCAAAGAAAAGAUUUCUUCCAAGUUUCUUUUAAAAAAUCAACAGAAGAAAGGACUAGUCAUGAUAAUAGCUCAAUCUAUUAUGCCUUUUUUUUAUUUUGAUCAUGUAUUUCUUCUUUUAAAGCCUUUUGUGCUGAAAGAGAG
rnacentral:lncRNA from 1 species